rnacentral:rRNA from 1 species
GUGUCAGCAGCCGCGGUAACACCGGCAGCCCAAGUGGUGGCCAUUUUUAUUGGGCCUAAAGCGUUCGUAGCCGGCUUGAUAAGUCUCUGGUGAAAUCCCAUAGCUUAACUGUGGGAAUUGCUGGAGAUACUAUUAGGCUUGAGGCCGGGAGAGGUUAGGGGUACUCCCAGGGUAGGGGUGAAAUCCUAUAAUCCUGGGGGGCCCACUUUUGGCGAAGGCGCCUAACUGG